rnacentral:misc_RNA from 1 species
GAUGAAGAACGUAGCGAAAUGCGAUACGUAGUGUGAAUUGCAGAAUUCAGUGAAUCAUCGAAUCUUUGAACGCACAUUGCGCCCUUUGGUAUUCCAAAGGGCAUGCCUGUUCGAGCGUCAUUUGUACCCUCAAGCUUUGCUUGGUGUUGGGCGUUUUUGUCUUUGGCCCGCCAAAGACUCGCCUUAAAAUGAUUGGCAGCCGGCCUACUGGUUUCGCAGCGCAGCACAUUUUUGCGCUUGCAAUCAGCAAAAGAGGACGGCAAUCCAUCAAGACUCCUUCUCACGUUUGACCUCGGAUCAGGUAUGGAUACCCGCUGAACUUAAGCAUAUCAAUAAGCGGAGGA